rnacentral:rRNA from 1 species
CUACGGGAGGCUCCAGUGGGGAAUAUUGCACAAUGGAGGAAACUCUGAUGCAGCAACGCCGCGUGGAGGAUGACACUUUUCGGAGCGUAAACUCCUUUUAUAUAGGAAGAAGAUGACGGUACUAUAUGAAUAAGCGCCGGCUAACUCCGUGCCAGCAGCCGCGGUAAUACGGAGGGCGCAAGCGUUACUCGGAAUCACUGGGCGUAAAGAGCGUGUAGGAGGAUUAAAAAGUCAGAAGUGAAAUCCUAUAGCUUAACUAUAGAACUGCUUCUGAAACUCUUAAUCUAGAAUAUGGGAGAGGGAGAUGGAAUUUCUGGUGUAGGGGUAAAAUCCGUAGAGAUCAGAAGGAAUACCGAUUGCGAAGGCGAUCUACUAGAACAUUAUUGACGCUGAGACGCGAAAGCGUGGGGAGCAAACAGGAUUAGAUACCCCCGUAGUC